UCUUCCCUCUUUCUUCGUGCUUAACACAUGCAAGUCGAACGAAGCACUUUAUUUGAUUUCCUUCGGGACUGAUUAUUUUGUGACUGAGUGGCGGACGGGUGAGUAACGCGUGGGUAACCUGCCUUGUACAGGGGGAUAACAGUUGGAAACGGCUGCUAAUACCGCAUAAGCGCACGGCAUCGCAUGAUGCAGUGUGAAAAACUCCGGUGGUAUAAGAUGGACCCGCGUUGGAUUAGCUAGUUGGUGAGGUAACGGCCCACCAAGGCGACGAUCCAUAGCCGACCUGAGAGGGUGACCGGCCACAUUGGGACUGAGACACGGCCCAAACUCCUACGGGAGGCAGCAGUGGGGAAUAUUGCACAAUGGGCGAAAGCCUGAUGCAGCGACGCCGCGUGAGCGAAGAAGUAUUUCGGUAUGUAAAGCUCUAUCAGCAGGGAAGAUAAUGACGGUACCUGACGAAGAAGCACCGGCUAAAUACGUG
rnacentral:rRNA from 1 species